rnacentral:lncRNA from 1 species
CGUGUAUGCGCUCACGCGUCCCGGAAGUGGAGGUGAAGCUGCUGGAAGAGUUUGGAAACAAACUGGCGAUCAGAUCAGAUGAGUGUCAGUCCUCUGGCAGACAGACUGAUUGUUGACGGCUCAGUGAUGAUGAUGAUGAUGAUGAAGAGUGCGAUGAUCUUCAUCCUGACGGCGUCAGAGAGCAGCGCGAGGAUCCACCAGCUCAAACUCAAGAAUGAGACGCGGUUUCUGGUCCAUUUGAACUCGUUUGGUUAUUUUGCAGAUGGCACUCUGGAGCUCCAUCUCGUGUCUCUGAAGCUGCCGCAGGAGAAGAGUGGCUCCGGGAAGUUCCGUCUCACGAUGAGCGCAAGCUUGCAGGGCCUCUACAACCUGGACUUCCACAACUGCCUCAAGGCCAAGACGCUGAGUCCGUAUUCUCUCCACGUAAGUGCUGCAGAACGCCUCAGAGCCACGUGUCACGUGAUCAGCAUAGGCCUGGGCAAUA